UACGUAGGUGGCAAGCGUUGUCCGGAAUUAUUGGGCGUAAAGCGCGCGCAGGCGGUCCUUUAAGUCUGAUGUGAAAGCCCACGGCUCAACCGUGGAGGGUCAUUGGAAACUGGGGGACUUGAGUACGGAAGAGGAAAGCGGAAUUCCACGUGUAGCGGUGAAAUGCGUAGAGAUGUGGAGGAACACCAGUGGCGAAGGCGGCUUUCUGGUCUGUAACUGACGCUGAGGCGCGAAAGCGUGGGGAGCAAACAGG
rnacentral:rRNA from 1 species